rnacentral:rRNA from 1 species
AUUGAACGCUGGCGGCAUGCCUUACACAUGCAAGUCGAACCGUAACGGGCCUUCGGGUGCCGACGAGUGGCGCACGGGUGAGUAAUACAUCGGAACGUGCCCGAUCGUGGGGGAUAACGAGGCGAAAGCUUUGCUAAUACCGCAUACGAUCUACGGAUGAAAGCAGGGGACCGCAAGGCCUUGCGCGGACGGAGCGGCCGAUGGCAGAUUAGGUAGUUGGUGGGAUAAAAGCUUACCAAGCCGACGAUCUGUAGCUGGUCUGAGAGGAUGAUCAGCCACACUGGGACUGAGACACGGCCCAGACUCCUACGGGAGGCAGCAGUGGGGAAUUUUGGACAAUGGGCGCAAGCCUGAUCCAGCCAUGCCGCGUGCAGGAUGAAGGCCUUCGGGUUGUAAACUGCUUUUGUACGGAACGAAAAGCCUUCUUUUAAUACAGGAGGGUCAUGACGGUACCGUAAGAAUAAGCACCGGCUAACUACGUG